AACGAACGCUGGCGGCAGGCCUAACACAUGCAAGUCGAGCGCGCCCUUCGGGGUGAGCGGCGGACGGGUGAGUAACGCGUGGGAACGUGCCCUUUUCUACGGAAUAGCCUCGGGAAACUGAGAGUAAUACCGUAUACGCCCUCUGGGGGAAAGAUUUAUCGGAAAAGGAUCGGCCCGCGUUGGAUUAGGUAGUUGGUGGGGUAAUGGCCUACCAAGCCGACGAUCCAUAGCUGGUUUGAGAGGAUGAUCAGCCACACUGGGACUGAGACACGGCCCAGACUCCUACGGGAGGCAGCAGUGGGGAAUCUUAGACAAUGGGGGCAACCCUGAUCUAGCCAUGCCGCGUGAGUGAUGAAGGCCUUAGGGUUGUAAAGCUCUUUCAGCUGGGAAGAUAAUGACGGUACCAGCAGAAGAAGCCCCGGCUAACUCCGUG
rnacentral:rRNA from 1 species